rnacentral:rRNA from 1 species
GGGGAAUUUUGCGCAAUGGACGAAAGUCUGACGCAGCAACGCCGCGUGGAGGAAGAAGCUCCUUUGGAGUGUAAACUUCUGUUCAUUAGGAAGAAAAGAUAGUAGUUAAUACUUAUUAUUUAUGACGUUACUAGUAAAGAAAGCACCGGCUAAUCUCGUGCCAGCAGCCGCGGUAAUACGAGAGGUGCAAGCGUUAUUCGGAAUUAUUGGGCGUAAAGGGCGCGUAGGCGGCUUUAUAAGUUUCUUGUUUAAGACUUCGGCCUAACUGAAGAAAAGCAAGGAAUACUGUAUAGCUAGAGUAUAAUAGAGAGAAGUGGAAUUUUCGGAGCAGCGGUUAAAUGCGUAGAUCUCGAAAGGAACGCCAAUGGCGAAGGCAGCUUCUUGGGUUAUUACUGACGCUGAGGCGCGAAGGCAUGGGGAGCAAAC